GACGAACGCUGGCGGCGUGCUUAACACAUGCAAGUCGAACGGAAAGGCCCUGCUUUUGUGGGGUGCUCGAGUGGCGAACGGGUGAGUAACACGUGAGUAACCUGCCCUUGACUUUGGGAUAACUUCAGGAAACUGGGGCUAAUACCGGAUAGGAGCUCCUGCUGCAUGGUGGGGGUUGGAAAGUUUCGGCGGUUGGGGAUGGACUCGCGGCUUAUCAGCUUGUUGGUGGGGUAGUGGCUUACCAAGGCUUUGACGGGUAGCCGGCCUGAGAGGGUGACCGGCCACAUUGGGACUGCGAUACGGACCAGACUCCUACGGGGGGCAGCAGUGGGGAAUAUUGCACAAUGGGCGGAAGCCUGAUGCAGCAACGCCGCGUGCGGGAUGACGGCCUUCGGGUUGUAAACCGCUUUCGCCUGUGACGAAGCGUGAGUGACGGUAAUGGGUAAAGAAGCACCGGCUAACUACGUG
rnacentral:rRNA from 1 species